GGGAAAAUCAUUGAUGGACUUCUAGUGAUGAGGAAGAUUGAGAAUGUUCCCACAGGCCCCAACAAUAAGCCCAAACUGCCAGUGGUGAUCUCACAGUGUGGGGAAAUGUAAUCUAGACAAGACUGAACCAGGAUGAACAGAUACCAUGAACCUUUCUGCCACAGCGGGGGCUCCCCUGGGCUCAACCUGCUCCCACUUCCAGAGCUGGCUAUUUCCUGUUCUCAGGAAGAGUUCAUAUACUGAUCCCUGAUCACCACUAGAUGAUAGAAGAUUACAUAAAGACUCAAAGGACAUUUAAGAAAUAUAUAAUCUACCU
rnacentral:lncRNA from 1 species